CCCCUCUCGGGGUCGCACCUGGAGAGUUUCUGGUACUUUACCAGUCUUGACUACAGGAGGGAGAGUCAAGCAGAGGCAUAUCCAUUCCACUUCUAGCUUGGGCAGUGACUGGAGAGUGGAAGACCAUCUGCUACAAGU
rfam:Ornithorhynchus anatinus chromosome X1, whole genome shotgun sequence.